GAUGAACGCUAGCGGGAGGCCUAACACAUGCAAGCCGAGCGGUAUUGUUUCUUCGGAAAUGAGAGAGCGGCGUACGGGUGCGGAACACGUGUGCAACCUGCCUUUAUCUGGGGGAUAGCCUUUCGAAAGGAAGAUUAAUACUCCAUAACAUAUUGAACGGCAUCGUUUGAUAUUGAAAGCUCCGGCGGAUAGAGAUGGGCACGCGAAAGAUUAGCUAGUUGGUGAGGUAACGGCUCACCAAGGCGAUGAUCUUUAGGGGGCCCGAGAGGGUGAUCCCCCACACUGGUACUGAGACACGGACCAGACUCCUACGGGAGGCAGCAGUGAGGAAUAUUGGUCAAUGGGUGCAAGCCUGAACCAGCCAUCCCGCGUGAAGGACGACUGCCCUAUGGGUUGUAAACUUCUUUUGUAUAGGGAUAAACCUACCCUCGUGAGGGUAGCUGAAGGUACUAUACGAAUAAGCACCGGCUAACUCCGUGCCAGCCGCCGCAGUAA
rnacentral:rRNA from 1 species